GAGUUUAAUAUAAAAAGGCACCGAUAGUUCACCGAAUCUGACGAUGGCAUUAUUUUUUGUACCGCCGCUACAAGCGACCAACGGCCGAGAAAUGCAUCCGGUUUGAAUAUUUCAAAAUAAAAGCUUGAGGUAAAGCGGAAACGACCGUCGGCGUACUGACGUCAGCGUGACAGAUUUAUUUGAAGGUUCGUGUGCGUCAUAGAGCGACGACAGGAGCGUGUUCCAACUAUCGCAGUGAAGUAGGUCGAUCCACCACCGAGUGCUGAUCAAGGUUCGAGUGACAGGACAGAUAGAAGAGUCACUACUCAUUGUUUGGGACAAAGUACUACUGCUGCUACCCCUCAUCCUACAGAAGGUAACAUCUCACCCUCAGUUUGCAGUGAUCGACCACCAGCGGCGGCGUUUCCUCGUCGAGGAUCUCCACAGAUCUGCCUCUGUUGAACAGCUGCAUCUGCUCCAAGGCGGCCUCGCCGGCUCUCGCCUCGUCCCUGCUACACUUUUCUGAGGAGGACAGGAGGCGCACAUGGUUUAUUCUUCUUCUGACUCCCAACAGGGUUCGCACAGUUUAUUGAAAGUCAAAUUCUUUAAAGGUAACUAAAACUAAAAUUCACAGACUCUCUAAAAAGUUGCUAUGCGUCCAUCGAUUUGUUCAAAAUAUAGUUCACAGAAUUCUUUUAUAACAAUACAGAAAUAAAUGUAUAUUAAUA